UGAGGAAUAUUGGACAAUGGGCGAGAGCCUGAUCCAGCCAUGCCGCGUGCAGGAAGACUGCCCUAUGGGUUGUAAACUGUUUUUGUACGGGAAGAAACACCCCCACGUGUGGGGGCUUGACGGUACCGUAAGAAUAAGCAUCGGCUAACUCCGUGCCAGCAGCCGCGGUAAUACGGAGGAUGCAAGCGUUAUCCGGAAUCAUUGGGUUUAAAGGGUCCGUAGGCGGAUAAUUAAGUCAGGGGUGAAAGUCUGCAGCUCAACUGUAGGACUGCCCUUGAUACUGGUUAUCUUGAAUCGUUGUGAAGUGGCUAGAAUAUGUAGUGUAGCGGUGAAAUGCAUAGAUAUUACAUAGAAUACCGAUUGCGAAGGCAGGUCACUAACAACGUAUUGACGCUGAGGGACGAAAGCGUGGGGAGCGAACAGGAUUAGAUACCCUGGUAGUCCACGCCGUAAACUAUGAUUACUCGUUUUCGGCGAUACACAGUCGGAGACUAAGCGAAAGUGAUAAGUAAUCCACCUGGGGAGUACGAUCGCAAGGUUG
rnacentral:rRNA from 1 species